AACGAACGCUGGCGGCGUGCCUAACACAUGCAAGUCGUGCGGGAAAGCGGGGGUAACUCUGCAAGUACAGCGGCGCACGGGUGAGUAACACGUAGGUAACCUACCUCCGGGACCGGGAUAACCUGUCGAAAGACGGGCUAAUACCAGAUAAGACCACCGAGGUUGCGGCUUCGGCGGUAAAAGAUGGCCUCUGCUUGCAAGCUAUCACUUGGAGAUGGGCCUGCGCGCCAUUAGCAGGUUGGGGG
rnacentral:rRNA from 1 species